GGUAAUCAGGAUGGCAUAAAACACCUCCUGACAUUACUUGAUUUGCAUCAGUUUCUUGCAACGGUAUUUGCUACGUUAUCUCCAGCUCUCGCAAUGGUGAAAACCUGAGAGCCAAGCCAUUAGUUGAAUCAGUCUCAUUAGUAUCCUUAAAGAAUAUACUAAAGGCACAUCCAUACGAAAGAAUUUGGAUAUAAAGGUAAUGACAACAAAGAGAACUUGGAAACCUAUAACACCUAAACAUAAUUUGUUCGGAGUAAAAUAUUUGUGUCCAGGAGAGUCUACUAAAACAACAUAGUACUGAAAUAA
rnacentral:lncRNA from 1 species